rnacentral:misc_RNA from 1 species
UUCUUUUUUGGAAAGUUUACAAGUAAGUUUAUAUCCUUGUACCUUUUCCUAGUCUGGUUUUUGUUAUCCUUGUAUGUGAUGAUGCCCUCAAUACGUGUUUAAUUACAUUCAUAGGUUAGAGCAUUGGUUCCGUGUUGGUAUAGCGGAAAUCAUUUUUGUAAUGGGAUGUGAAUGUGAUGCAUGUGCUUGUUCCAUGUAUGUUAUGUUUACGGAUGAGGCUAUCUUCCUGGUGAAACAUAUGCUUUUAGUGAAAUUUGCUAACAUACUG